rnacentral:rRNA from 1 species
AUUGAACGCUGGCGGCAGGCCUAACACAUGCAAGUCGAGCGGAUGAAGGGAGCUUGCUCCUGGAUUUAGCGGCGGACGGGUGAGUAAUGCCUAGGAAUCUGCCUGGUAGUGGGGGAUAACGUCCGGAAACGGGCGCUAAUACCGCAUACGUCCUGAGGGAGAAAGUGGGGGAUCUUCGGACCUCACGCUAUCAGAUGAGCCUAGGUCGGAUUAGCUAGUUGGUGGGGUAAAGGCCUACCAAGGCGACGAUCCGUAACUGGUCUGAGAGGAUGAUCAGUCACACUGGAACUGAGACACGGUCCAGACUCCUACGGGAGGCAGCAGUGGGGAAUAUUGGACAAUGGGCGAAAGCCUGAUCCAGCGAUGCCGCGUGUGUGAAGAAGGUCUUCGGACUGUAAAGCACUUUAAGUUGGGAGGAAGGGCAGUAAGUUAAUACCUCGCUGUUUUGACGUUACCAACAGAAUAAGCACCGGCUAACUUCGUG